GACGAACGCUGGCGGCGUGCUUAACACAUGCAAGUCGAACGGAAAGGCCCUGCUUUUGUGGGGUGCUCGAGUGGCGAACGGGUGAGUAACACGUGAGUAACCUGCCCUUGACUUUGGGAUAACUUCAGGAAACUGGGGCUAAUACCGGAUAGGAGCUCCUGCUGCAUGGUGGGGGUUGGAAAGUUUCGGCGGUUGGGGAUGGACUUGCGGCUUAUCAGCUUGUUGGUGGGGUAGUGGCUUACCAAGGCUUUGACGGGUAGCCGGCCUGAGAGGGUGACCGGCCACAUUGGGACUGAGAUACGGCCCAGACUCCUACGGGAGGCAGCAGUGGGGAAUAUUGCACAAUGGGCGGAAGCCUGAUGCAGCAACGCCGCGUGCGGGAUGACGGCCUUCGGGUUGUAAACCGCUUUCGCCUGUGACGAAGCGUGAGUGACGGUAAUGGGUAAAGAAGCACCGGCUAACUACGUGCCAGCAGCCGCGGUGAUACGUAGGGUGCGAGCGUUGUCCGGAUUUAUUGGGCGUAAAGGGCUCGUAGGUGGUUGAUCGCGUCGGAAGUGUAAUCUUGGGGCUUAACCCUGAGCGUGCUUUCGAUACGGGUUGACUUGAGGAAGGUAGGGGAGAAUGGAAUUCCUGGUGGAGCGGUGGAAUGCGCAGAUAUCAGGAGGAACACCAGUGGCGAAGGCGGUUCUCUGGGCCUUUCCUGACGCUGAGGAGCGAAAGCGUGGGGAGCGAACAGGCUUAGAUACCCUGGUAGUCCACGCUGUAAACGGUGGGUGCUAGGUGUGGGGUCCAUUCCACGGGUUCCGUGCCGUAGCUAACGCUUUAAGUACCCCGCCUGGGGAGUACGGCCGCAAGGCUAAAACUCAAAGGAAUUGACGGGGCCCCGCACAAGCGGCGGAGCAUGCGGAUUAAUUCGAUGCAACGCGUAGAACCUUACCUGGGUUUGACAUGGAUCGGGAGUGCUCAGAGAUGGGUGUGCCUCUUUUGGGGUCGGUUCACAGGUGGUGCAUGCCUGUCGUCAGCUCGUGUCGUGAGAUGUUGGGUUAAGUCCCGCAACGAGCGCAACCCUUGUUCACUGUUGCCAGCACGUUAUGGUGGGGACUCAGUGGAGACCGCCGGGGUCAACUCGGAGGAAGGUGGGGAUGACGUCAGGUCAUCAUGCCCCUUAUGUCCAGGGCUUCACGCAUGCUACAAUGGCUGGUACAGAGAGUGGCGAGCCUGUGAGGGUGAGCGAAUCUCGGAAAGCCGGUCUCAGUUCGGAUUGGGGUCUGCAACUCGACCUCAUGAAGUCGGAGUCGCUAGUAAUCGCAGAUCAGCAACGCUGCGGUGAAUACGUUCCCGGGGCU
rnacentral:rRNA from 1 species